AAAGUCGUGAAAACGACACGGGAAACGCUAACGCGAGCGCGCUGCGAUUCCCCGUCCCCAGCCGUCGCGGGCCGGGCGGAGGGAGGCCAGGUCAACCUCGCAGGCCGCGGUGCUGCCGCCGCCGCCGCCGGGCCCUCGGUGCCGCCGAGCCCCGGUGAGACGAGGCCUCCGCCCGGCCCCCGGCUGCUGCCGGCCCCGGCUCCUCGCAGCGAGGCCUGGGGGCUCGGGGAGGGCCGGAGACGGAGGCCCGCGGCCCGCAGCCUUCCCCCGGCCGCCGCCCGCCUGGGCCCUCCGCCCCGUUCUCCUCACGGGGGCGCCGGGACCGCGGCGGGCGGAGCCGCGGCCGGAUCGGGGCCGGGGCUGGAGCCGGGGCUGGGGCCGGGCCCGCCGCCCUUCCGUGCCCAGCCCGCAGGCCCCACGGCCCCGCAGCGCUGCCCGCGGAGCCCCAGCGCGGCCCCGGCCGUGCCGUGCCGUGGAGAAGCCCCUGGCCUCGGUCCCCAGCCAGCCUGGGGUCGUUUUGGUCCCUCAAGUCGGUGUCCCCAGGACUGCGGGUGCCCCCUGAGCCGGGCUGGCGGCUCGCAAGUCCCCCCACGAGCAGCCCGUUUACGCAGCAAAGCACAGCACGGAGGACGGUCACCCCUGAGCUGGGCGGAUAAAAUCACCGGGGUGGCUUUUGUGGCACAAGCAGAGCAAGUGGUGGCAAGGAGGGGACAACAAAGAGGGCCGCACCAAGUGCUUUUCAACUUCAUACACCCCUGCAUCGCUACGCCAGCCAGAGCUGUGCGGAAACAGCAGCGAGCGAAAGAGACCUUCGUGAUCUCGGUAGCCAGAGCAUCGCCCUGUCUAGGGCAGAACUUGUGCAGGACUCGGAGCAAGGGGGAAAUGAAGCGCCAUGGCCAGCAAGGCACCGUGCAGGGUGUCCCGAGGGAGUCAGACCAUCCAGGGACACCCCGCCGACAGCCAGGAGAAGCUUUGCACGGGAACGUUACGGCGGGAGCUGUGCCUGGGCGCACUGGUUUUUGUAGGCGUGCCCUCUCUAUUCCCCUGCCAGAAGCAGCAUUUCCCCAACACACCUAA
ensembl:lncRNA